GGGAAAGUAUCGUUCAAUAAUCGUAGCCUGCAUGCCAUUGGUGAUACACCUAAUCCAUAUGAAAAGGCCAUCUCAAUUAUUGGAAAGACUUUGGCUCCCUUUGAUGAUGAUAACUUAAUUCCCUGUCUUGGCUUUGGUGAUGCCACCACUCAUGAUCAAGAAGUAUUUAGCUUUCACAGUGAUCAUUCUCCUUGCCAUGGGUUUGAAGAAGUUUUAGCCUGCUACAAGAAGAUUGUUCCCAACUUACGACUUGCAGGGCCAACUUCUUAUGCACCGGUGAUUGAGGCUGCGAUGGACAUUGUGGAAAGAAGCGGAGGCCAAUACCAUGUGUUGGUUAUCAUAGCAGAUGGCCAGGUUACAAGAAGUGUCAAUACAGGUGCUGGGGAGCUAAGCCCACAGGAAGAGAAAACAAUCCAGUCAAUUGUGGAUGCUAGUUCAUACCCACUGUCGAUAAUUCUUGUUGGGGUUGGUGAUGGACCUUGGGAUGACAUGAAGAAAUUUGAUGACAAAAUCCCAGCGCGUGAAUUUGACAAUUUUCAGUUUGUUAACUUCACUGCAAUUAUGUCCAAAAAUACAACUACCUCUGAGAAAGAAACAGAGUUUGCUCUCGCUGCACUAAUGGAGAUCCCCUUCCAGUACCUAGCAGCUCGUGAAUUUGGUAUAAUUGGUUGUACUACAGGAAGAGCGAAGAAAAUCGUAGCACGCCCUCCGCCAGUUCCUUACGUUCGUCAUCCACUGCCAGACCAUCAAUCGAGCAAUGUAUCUUCCACCGUUGUAGAUGAGAGAACCCAGGCCUGCCCUAUUUGCCUGACUAAUGGCAAGGACUUGGCCUUCGGUUGCGGACACAUGACUUGUAGAGACUGCGCAUCAAGGGUGUCAAAUUGCCCCAUAUGCCGCCGGCCUAUUACUAGCCGUCUUAGGCUGUUUGCUUGAAUGAAUGCACGUAGCGUUGUUUGAAGACUGCACCAGGGCAAGUGCUGUAUCUUAAACUGAAGAUAUUCCUAGGCUUUUCCUCCUCUCUUUGUGUGAAGGUGUGGAGACCUGAAUUUGUUUAUAUU
rnacentral:misc_RNA from 1 species